rnacentral:rRNA from 1 species
GACGAACGCUGGCGGCGUGCCUAAUACAUGCAAGUAGAACGCUGAAGGAGGAGCUUGCUUCUCUGGAUGAGUUGCGAACGGGUGAGUAACGCGUAGGUAACCUGCCUGGUAGCGGGGGAUAACUAUUGGAAACGAUAGCUAAUACCGCAUAAUAGUAGAUGUUGCAUGACAUUUGCUUAAAAGGUGCAAUUGCAUCACUACCAGAUGGACCUGCGUUGUAUUAGCUAGUUGGUGGGGUAACGGCUCACCAAGGCGACGAUACAUAGCCGAGCUGAGAGGGUGAACGACCAAAAUGGGAAUGGGAAACGGCCCAGGAUCCUUAGGGGAGGAGCAGUAGGGGAACUUCGGAAAUGGGCGGAAAGCUGAACGAACAACGCCGCGUGGGGGAAGGAGGUUUUCGGGUCGUAAAGCUCUGUUGUGAGGGAAGAAAGAGUGUUAGGGUGGAAAGUUCACGCUGUGACGGUAUCUUACCAGAAAGGGACGGCUAACUACGUG